UACGUAGGGGGCAAGCGUUGUCCGGAAUCAUUGGGCGUAAAGAGCGUGUAGGCGGUCCGGUAAGUCCGCUGUAAAAGUCAAGGGCUCAACCCUUGAAAGCCGGUGGAUACUGCCGGGCUAGAGUCCGGAAGAGGCGAGUGGAACUCCUGGUGUAGCGGUGAAAUGCGCAGCUAUCAGGAAGAACACCUACGGCGAAGGCAGCUCGCUGGGACGGUACUGACGCUGAGACGCGAAAGCGUGGGGAGCAAACAGG
rnacentral:rRNA from 1 species